GUUUCUCUUUCAUCUCUUUUUGUUGGUGCCGUCCGUCCGUUCUUGUUUCUGUCGCGAUCUUUUAAACGGGUGAAGAUAGAUCAGAAAGUUUCCACUGGAAGGAUGAGUGAGGAUAGAUCCAUUGAUUACUAAGGUAUGGAAUACGAAGAAAAUUCGAUCGGAUAGACAGAGGCCGUGCCCCGUUUAAUCUUGAAGUAGAAACGUUGAAAACGAUACAUGUGUGGCCUUUUGCAAGAGGUCUGGAUUUUGUUUCCCUAACAAAAAACAGUGGUAAUAUUAGUUCAGAAUAUUAAAACAUUAACAGGUUAUAACUUUCAAACAAACAGAAGAAUUUAAUUACCCAUUGGUCUGCUAAAACCAUUUCAAACGUAUCUCCAAAAGAUGUUGUCUGGCUCCAAGAAUGCAAACACUUGACUUGCACUCGCCAAUGAUUCUUAAAAGGCUGCAGUUUUGUGAGAGGAUGAAAAGUAGUUAUUGUAGACAUUUUAAGAAGAGAUGCUUUGAGUGCUAUGGUUUUAACGUUAUUGGGGAAGAGUUGCAUAUAUGUAUUUAAGAAAGGGUAAAAAUUAGGUAUACACGCCAUAUAAUUAUUGAAGAUUUUGUUAGUUGUGAUUAUUUAGGAUUAUAUAUAUGGAAUAUUCAAGUCGAUUUUUCCCCAAUUUGAUUAGGUUGUUAGAAAGUUAAUUUAUUGAAAGGAAUAUACGCUUUAAAUGAUUCGACUUUAACGUGAUUUGCAAGAGUAUAAACCAAAAAAAAAUAUUUGGCUAUCUAUGUGAAUGAUCUAAUAUUUACAUAUCACAUUUUAAAUUACAAUAAAUUUUGAUAAUUUAUAAAAAAAUAUUAGUAUAAAUUAUUUUAAUUGAUAUAAAAUAAUAAUUUUAUAUAUACAACACAUAUUUCAUAUAUUUUAUUUUAAAAUAUCUACAGCCUACAACUUACAGCUACAACAAAUUUAACUACAUCAAAAGUCUCUGCAGAAAAAGUGUACAGUAACAACUUUACAGCUACAACCGAUUUAUCUACAGCUAAUCAUCUACAGCUAAAUUUUUAAAGUCACAGUCGAAACAAUCAUCACCAUUGUGAUUGUUAAGAAGAUUUGCUUAAAUAUAGGAAUAUAUUUUGGAAGGCUAUAUAUUUUAGGAAAAAAAUAAAUGAUUACAUUGAAUUUUUGAACAAAACCAUUUAUACGAUUUGUUUUGAUUUGAUAUUGAGAUUGUUAAGAAGAUUUGCUUAAAUGUAGGAAUAGAUUUUGGAAGGUCAUGUAUUCAAGGAAAUUAAUAAAUGAUUAGUUUGAAUUUUGAACAAUUCCUAUGUUCAUGUAUGAGCAAAACCUUCUUCACCCGCCAAAAUCAUACCACAAAACUAAACUAAACCAACCUUACUUGGGUGUUAAGGCGAGUGAAUUUUUUUGAUGUAGAAAUUUCUAAUAUAUAUAAAUCAUGAAAUAAAUUAUGAUCAAAAGAAAAAAAAAUUCAAAAUUUCUUAAUCAAGUACAUCGAAUUGAAUCUAUCUAAUAUGCUCGUUUUGGUUCUCCUGAGGAAACCGGAGAUGUGA